rnacentral:rRNA from 1 species
AGUGAACGCUGGCGGUAGGCUUAACACAUGCAAGUCGAACGGAAGCACAGUACGUGUUUGCUCUUCUGGGUGGGGAGUGGGGGAAGGGUCAGGAAAAUAUCGGACCCUACUUUUUGGUGGGGGUUAACGUAGGGAAACUUACGCCAAUAUAGCAUCCGCCGUUCGGUGGUGAGCGGGGGAUCUUCGCGCCUUGUGGGAUUGAAUGCGCGGAUGUCGGAUUAGUUAGUUGGCGGGGUAAAGGCCAACCAAGGCGACGAUCCGUGGCCGGUCUGAGAGGAGGGUCAGCCACACGGGAACGGAGACACGGUCCAGACUCCUACGGGAGGCAGCAGUGGGGAAUAUUGGACAAUGGGCGCAAGCCUGAUCCAGCCAUACCGCGUGUGUGAAGAAGGCCUUCGGGUUGUAAAGCCCGUUUGUUGGGAAAGAAAAGCAUCAGGUUAAGACCCCGCUGGACUGACGGUACCGAAAGAAUAAGCACCGGCUAACUACGUG